GGCCCUAUCGUCUAGAGGCCUAGGACACCGCCCUUUCACGGCGGUAACACCGGUUCGAAUCCGGUUAGGGUCACCA
rnacentral:tRNA from 7 species